AACUAGGCAAUUUUACUUCAGAAGAGGAGAGGGGAAUUCCAUGUCUAGCGGUGAAAUGCGGAGAGAUAUGGAGCAACACCAGUGGCUGACGAGCGGCUGUGUGGUUUGUAAUUGAGGCUGAUGUGCGAAAGCGUGGGGAUCAAACAGGAUUAGAUACCCUGGUAGUCCACGCCGUAAACGAUGAGUGCUAAGUGUUAGGGGGUUUCCGCCCCUUAGUGCUGCAGCUAACGCAUUAAGCACUCCGCCUGGGGAGUACGACCGCAAGGUUGAAACUCAAAGGAAUUGACGGGGACCCGCACAAGCGGUGGAGCAUGUGGUUUUAUUUCGAAGCAACGCGAAGAACCUUACCAAAUCUUGACAUCCUUUGACCGCUGUAGAAGAUGGAGUCUUCGGCCCUUCGGGGGGACAAAGUGACAGGUGGUGCAUGGUUGUCGUCAGCUCGUGUCGUGAGAUGUUGGGUUAAGUCCCGCAACGAGCGCAACCCUUAAGCUUAGUUGCCAUCAUUAAGUUGGGCACUCUAGGUUGACUGCCGGUGACAAACCGGAUGAAGGUGGGGAUGACGUCUCAUCAUCACGCCCCUUAUGAUUUGGGCUACACACGUGCUACAAUGGAUAAUAGAAAGGGCAGCGAAUCCGCGAGGCCAAGCAAAUCCCAUAAAAUUAUUCUCAGUUCAGAUUGGAAUCUGCAACUCGACUACGUGAAGCUGGAAUCGCUAGUAAUCGAGAACCAGCAUGCUACGGUGAAUACGUUCCCGGGUCUAGUACACACCGCCCGUCACA
rnacentral:rRNA from 1 species